CAAAUACUCCCUUCGUCCGGAAAUACUUGUCAUCAAAAUGGAUAAAAGGAAAUGUAUCUAGACGUAUUUUAGUUUUAGAUACAUCUCUUUUUAUCCAUUUUGAUGACAAGUAUUUUCGGACGGAGGGAGUAUUUA
rnacentral:pre_miRNA from 1 species